rnacentral:rRNA from 1 species
AGAGUUUGAUCCUGGCUCAGAACAAACGCUGGCGGCGUGCCUAAUACAUGCAAGUCGAACGAGGUAGCAAUACCUAGUGGCGCACGGGUGAGUAACACGUAGAUAAUCUGCCCUUUAAUGGGGAAUAACUCUCCGAAAGGAGAGCUAAUACCGCAUAAGACCACAGGUGCUGAGGCACCAGGGGUUAAAGGCUUCGGUCGUUGAAGGAUGAGUCUGCGUUGGAUUAGCUAGUUGGUAGGGUAAUGGCCUACCAAGGCAUUGAUCCAUAGCUGGUCUGAGAGGAUGAUCAGCCACACUGGAACUGAGACACGGUCCAGACUCCUACGGGAGGCAGCAGUAGGGAAUAUUGCACAAUGGAGGAAACUCUGAUGCAGCAACGCCGCGUGAGUGACGAAGGCCUUCGGGUCGUAAAGCUCUGUUGUAUGGGAAGAAAAAAAUGACGGUACCAUAUAAGA